rnacentral:rRNA from 1 species
CACGUAGGGGACGAGCGUUGUCCGGAUUCAUUGGGCGUAAAGCGCGCGUAGGCGGCUCGGAAAGUCGGUCGUGAAAUGCCGGGGCUCAACCCCGGGACUGCGUCCGAUACUCCCGAGCUGGAGGCAGGUAGGGGAGAUCGGAAUUCCUGGUGUAGUGGUGGAAUGCGUAGAGAUCCGGAGGAACACCAGCGGCGAAGGCGGCAUCCUGGACUGGUCCUGACACUCAGGAGCGAAAGCGUGGGGAGCGAUCCGG